rnacentral:tRNA from 1 species
GGGGGCGUCGGCAAGUGGUAAGCCAUGCGGUUUUGGUCCGUAUAUUCGGAGGUUCGAAUCCUUCCGCCCCUGCCA